UACGAAGGGGGCGAGCGUUGUUCGGAAUUACUGGGCGUAAAGGGCGCGCAGGCGGCCUUAGAAGUCAGAUGUGAAAGCCCCGGGCUCAACCUGGGAAUGGCAUUUGAUACUCUGAGGCUGGAGUACGGGAGAGGAGAGUGGAAUUCCCAGUGUAGAGGUGAAAUUCGUAGAUAUUGGGAAGAACACCGGUGGCGAAGGCGGCUCUCUGGACCGUAAACUGACGCUGAGGCGCGA
rnacentral:rRNA from 1 species